GAAUCUGACAUAAAGUCACGUGUUAGCAGGUUUAAAACACUGAUAUUCAAAAUGCCUCACACAUGGACCAAUGAUCAAGAAACACGUUCCACCUGACCAAACACCUGAUAGCAUCAUUGUUGGCUCAUCAAUCAGGAUGUUAGCACUAUAAAAAGACCACAGGUGAGUACUUUCUUACAGCAACAAUGGAAGCCAUCAUGGAAGCAAGAGGAAGAGGAAGAGGAAGAGCUGGGCUGAGAGUGAGAGUGAGAGGAGGAGGAAGAGCUUGGCUGAGAGUGAGAGGAGGAGGAAGAGUACUCUCUAAUGAAAUGAAAUGUUAUCAACCAUGGUUUGACGAUGAGAGAGGCUGGACAGAGGGUUAAUCUAAGCCGAUGUACUGUUGCCUCUGUAAUCCGGACACUUAGACUUGAAAACAGGACUGAGAAACAAAGAGGUGCAGGUGGAAAGCUCAGGGUUUUCAAUGAGGCAGGAAGCAGCAGUUACAAACUGGGUUUUGGCAAACAAUGCCAUCACACUUAGAGAGAUCCAAAGCAUAUAUGUGCUGAGAUGCAUGUUGCACCAUGUUAUAUUUGAAUAAAAUAUGAUUUUU